AUUGCCUACCCUGCUUGAGAGAUGCAGAGGCCUGGUGUGGAGUUAGCAGUAUUAUGAGAUUGGAUCAGCCUGGAUCACUGAAUCACUGCAUGUAGGACACACUAUGGAGAGUUUCUUGUGCCAAGAUCAGACAUGGUAUAUGCAAGAAUAAAUGUGUGCGUGAAUCAAACCAGAGGUUGUGUUUAUUUCUUAAUUACUAUAUUGUAUUCUUGCUAACUUGACUAAUCCAGCCAGCA
rnacentral:lncRNA from 1 species